rnacentral:rRNA from 1 species
CUGCUGCCUUCCGUAGGAGUCUGGGCCGUGUCUCAGUCCCAAUGUGGCCGGCCAACCUCUCAGUCCGGCUACUGAUCGUCGCCUUGGUGGGCCGUUGCCCCACCAACUAGCUAAUCAGACGCGAGUCCAUCUCAGAGCGAUAAAUCUUUGAUAUCCAGAGCCAUGCGACCCAGAUAUAUUAUGCGGUAUUAGCAGCUGUUUCCGGCUGUUAUUCCCCACUCCAAGGCAGGUUACU